rnacentral:rRNA from 1 species
CCUACGGGUGGCAGCAGUGGGGAAUAUUGCACAAUGGGGGAAACCCUGAUGCAGCGACGCCGCGUGAAGGAAGAAGUAUUUCGGUAUGUAAACUUCUAUCAGCAGGGAAGAAAAUGACGGUAUCUGAAUAAGAAGCCCCGGCUAACUACGUGCCAGCAGCCGCGGUAAUACGUAGGGGGCAAGUGUUAUCCGUAAUUACGGGGGGGAAAGGGAGCGGAGGCGGUGCAGCAAGUCAGAAGUGAAAGCCCGGGGCUCAACUCCGGGACUGCUUUUGAUACUGUUGAACUAGAUUGCAGGAGAGGUAAGUCGAAUUCCUAGUGUAGCGGUGAAAUGCGUAGAUAUUAGGAGGAACACCAGUGGCGAAGGCGGCUUACUGGACUGUAAAUGACGCUGAGGCUCGAAAGCGUGGGGAGCAAACAGGAUGAGAUACCCGAGUAGUC